rnacentral:rRNA from 1 species
GAGUUUGAUCAUGGCUCAGGAUGAACGCUAGCGGGAGGCUUAACACAUGCAAGUCGAGGGGUAUAAGUAGCAAUAUUUAGAGACCGGCGCACAGGUAAGUAACGCGUAUGCGACCUGCCCUUUACAGGGGGAUAGCCCGUAGAAAUGCGGAUUAAUACCCCAUAGUACUAUUGGAUCGCAUGGUCUGAUAGUUAAAGUUUCGGCGGUAAAGGAUGGGCAUGCGUGACAUUAGCUAGUUGGAGAGGUAACGGCUCACCAAGGCUACGAUGUCUAGGGGUUCUGAGAGGAAGAUCCCCCACACUGGUACUGAGACACGGACCAGACUCCUACGGGAGGCAGCAGUGAGGAAUAUUGGUCAAUGGGCGAGAGCCUGAACCAGCCAUCCCGCGUGCAGGAAGAAUGCCCUAUGGGUUGUAAACUGCUUUUUCGCAUGAAGAACACUCCGGACGUGUCUGGAGCUGACGGUAAUGCGUGAAUAAGCACCGGCUAACUCCGUGCCAGCAGCCGCGGUAAUACGGAGGGUGCAAGCGUUAUCCGGAUUUAUCGGAUUUAAAGGGUGCGUAGGCGGUAAUAUAAGUCAGUGGUGAAAUCCUGCAGCUCAACUGUAGAACAGCCAUUGAAACUGCAUUACUUGAGUAAUCUUGAGGUAGGCGGAAUGUGUAGUGUAGCGGUGAAAUGCUUAGAUAUUACACAGAACACCGAUUGCGAAGGCAGCUUACUAAGGAUU